GACGGAGGGGGCUAGCGUUGUUCGGAAUUACUGGGCGUAAAGGGCGCGUAGGCGGAUUAGUAAGUUGGGAGUGAAAGCCCGGGGCUUAACCUCGGAACUGCUUUCAAAACUGCUAGUCUAGAGUAAAGUAGGGGGUGAUGGAAUUCCUAGUGUAGAGGUGAAAUUCUUAGAUAUUAGGAGGAACACCGGUGGCGAAGGCGGUCACCUGGACUUUAACUGACGCUGAGGCGCGAAAGCGUGGGGAGCAAACAGG
rnacentral:rRNA from 1 species